rnacentral:sRNA from 1 species
AGCUUUCUUAGAAGUAAAAUCAAGUAUUGAAAAAAUCUUACAUGGAGAAAAUCCCGGUCAAACGAUUGCGAGGGAUUACGAAAAUUGGUACAAAGCUCUAUUCAUUCCAUCUGUAGAAGCAGGGAUAUUGAAAAACUAUGAUCUUAUCGGGUACAGGACAAAUCAGGUUUACAUCAAAGGAUCACUACACACCCCAUUAAGCCCGGAUGUAGUAAGAGACGUUAUGCCGACCUUUUUCUCUCUAAUCGAGCAAGAAAACAAUCCGGCUGUAAGAGCUGUUCUCGGUCAUUUCUUUCUGACAUACAUCCAUCCACAUAUAGACGGAAAUGGGAGAAUGGCCCGCUUUCUAAUGAAUUCUAUGUUAACGACAGGAGGUCAUGAUUGGAUUAUUAUUCCCGUUAACAAAAGGAAUGAAUACAUAAAAGGAUUAGAAGAAGCCAGCGUGAAAAAUGAUAUUUCCACCUUUGCAAAGUUCGUAUCUUUUAUCCUACAUCAACAAAAUCAACAAAUGAGAUUUGUUUAACCCAAAUUACGCGAUACACUGUUCAGCGUUUACCGUUAGUAAUGGACAUGCGAAUGUACAACAAUGGUUAUGUCAGGCUUACAGCCCUCCGCCGAGAUGCGAUGCCUUUUUCCCCAACGCUGCGCUUCCGCUCUUCCCCCUUUGAAGGGGGGGGAUGUUCCUCUGCGUUCGGUCUUUUGUCAUUCAGAGCGAAGCGAUGAAUCUCCUCCUUUUCCCCGCGAGAUUCCUCACUGUGUUCGGAAUGACAAGAGGAGGUGUUCGGAAUGACAAAGGGGGAUCUAAAUCAAUAUUCAUUCAGGCUUACAGCCCUCCGCCGAGAUGCGAUGCCUUUUUCCCAACGCUUCGCAUUGGGCUGAAUUAUUUCGCCCUUUCAGGGCUGUUUUUCAAUUGUUAAUUAUCAAUGGUUAAUGGUUAUUUGCCGGGUACAUGAUUCGGCGUGUACCACGCAUAACCAUUGACCAUUGUCCGAAAGGGCUGAAAGCCCGAAUUAUUUUAGCCCCAUCCCGCAAGGGUGGGGUAUCGACAUCCGGACCUUGUUCGGAGGGCUGAAGGCCUGAAUUAAAGUCAUUCUUAUUUCUUCUAUCACGGAAUCCGGGAUAAACGAACCGGCGCAUUUU